rnacentral:rRNA from 1 species
UACGGGGGGAGCAAGCGUUGUUCGGAUUUACUGGGCGUAAAGGGCGCGUAGGCGGCCACCGCAAGUCGGUUGUGAAAUCUCUGGGCUUAACCCAGAAAGGUCAACCGAUACUGCGGGGCUAGAGUGCAGAAGGGGCAACUGGAAUUCUCGGUGUAGCGGUGAAAUGCGUAGAUAUCGAGAGGAACACCGGUGGCGAAGGCGGCCCACUGGAUCGGUACUGACGCUGAGGAGCGAAAGCGUGGGGAGCAAACAGG